CUCACUGCAAAGAUGCAUAAAGGCUGUAAGUAACAUGUAAAUCAGUCUAUACACAGUCAGACGUCACGUGACCUUCUGAAGAUCAAGUAGCUGGUUGUAAAAUUUAGAAAUGUGCACUGUAUGCAAAAUAUGGCUGUGUAGCUCAAUUCAAAUGGUAUAUCAGCAGUGUUGCACGUGAUAUCUGUGGCAUUUUUUUCUUUAGAGCUACCUGGUGGUCAUUUCCAAACUUAAGAUGACUUGUUGAAUACAGCCUGUCAGUACUCUCUGCUCCUGAAGAUGUAAUAAGGAUAGUGAGGUGCCAGUGACCACAAUAGGUGCUACCAGUGGCUUGGGCAUGUUAUAUUGACAUAGCAAACUAUAAGCUUUCUAUAACUUGUCCAUAGAGCCUCAAUAUAACGUUAACUUGAAUGCCACUGCGAAGAAAUACAGAAACAAUAAAUGGAAACUUCUGCCAACGUGGCUGCUUGCCAAAUGCAAGUCAAAUUGCGCAACCAAGAGUGAUCAUUAAAACGGAGCACCGUGAUCAGUAUAAAGUCCAAAUGUGAUAAGAUCCCAUUGCGCUGUAUGCUUUGGGUGCGAAGGAUGGUGGCUUGAUGGGCGCUGUCUUCCCGCGUGACCAAGGGAGGGAGCAGCUCGCGCAAGUUCGCGCGUCUCCUUUUCAAGCGUGGCCAUAGCUGCACGUACACAGCUUGAACGCCAUUUUAAGGUAAUCUUCUACGUGUGGGCAUGGCAUGUGCGCUGUCUUCCCACGCGUUUAGUACUGGAGGUUGCAUUAUCUCGAGUUACGGAGAUGCAGAUGCAAAAGCGUGGCUGGCUUUGCUCAAUUCAUACCACCGACUUUCAAAUUCAACAAAAUGAAUUUUUUUCUAAUUCAAAUUUGUUUUCUCGACUGCCCGAUAGUUUAGAAAAUUUUGCAACCUUUUCCAUAUAAAAAAAAAUUUUAAAAUUGGAGAUUUUAUCAACUUCAUUCCUCAAUGCAGGGGCUCAUUACUGCUUUGACUUCACUUAAUGACAUGCGAUUCAAACGGAACUGAAGCCAUGAUCAAUGUGCUGUUUGAGAGGAGUGGCUAAGCAACUUUAGUCAUGGAUAUCAGGGGUGGAAUUCCUGCUCCAUCACCCGCCAAUUGAGCCAAAAAUAAAACCCUGCGCAGCACUGCGCCAUGCAGGAAAUUUUACUUCAAAGAAAUUAAAGCCAGUUCCACAAAGUGAAAUCUGUCGAAACAGCGUAGCUGUGGUUGUCUUCGUUAUGGUAGACUGUUUCUUGGUCUUUUGCCGCGAGGUUCCGUAUGAAGUCCACGGGCGAUAAAAUCACCAUACGGUAUGUGCAAGUGAAAGCGUGCGAUGGGGAGCCAGCAAUCUUGGCUCGCGCAUGCAACGACGGGGAGCGGGAAGGAAGUGCGCAGUCUUUCAGUCGCGGACAACGCUCCAGAGGGAGGUGGAGAGGCCACGCUUUACUGCGGCUGCACACUCCCGCCAGACCGGAAAGCUCCGUAGAGGGGCGCGCCUUCUUUCCGACGUGGCUCUCAUCCUCUACUGUCACGUGACUGACUGCACAGACGGCGAAGGGUCGACUAACGUUAAGCUCCGCUGUUAAUAAGGGCACUUGGCGUAGUUUGAGUUUGUUACAGGCAAGCUCAAUUUAGUCUUGCUACGAUGUGGCUGUAGCCAGGUUUUUUUUUUUUUUUUCUCUUCACACGCGGUGAUUGGUGAAGUUAGCGGCGACUAUCAUUGUGCGCUGGUAGUCGGGAAGUUCAAGGACUGAAAAAUGGCCCAAAAGUAAAUAAUAUUCUCCUGCUAUUUUGUAUAACUGUAACUAAGCGUGCAGUCGUGAAAAUGUAAAGCGCACAAGCAAGCGGUAGGCCUUUUCUCUGCGAUCGAGUAGUAGGAUGAUCAGGUGUAGCGGCUGUGCUUGGUAGAGUGUGCGCCUAAAAGUUAAGGCAUUCUAUGGUUUAAGAGGAAGCUUUAGCUCCGGGACUCCUAUCUAAAUACAUGAAAAAUCAUUUUUCUUGGCAACCACUGCAUCAAAUUUGAUGAGAUUUGUUGCAUUUAAAAGAUAAAAUUAAAAUCUAGAGACUGGUGGAAGUGCAUUUUUGAUUUAGGCAUAGAUUUUUUUUAAAUAAAGAUUGUCAAACAUAGCAACUUUUCAGAAAACGAAACUGAUAUUUACAACUUUGUAACUCGGGAAUGAAAAAUAACAGAAUUCUGUAAAUUGCAUCUAAUUGAACAUCUAAAGCUGACAAAAAUGAUGUAUAAUACACUGAUCUGUAAUAUACCAUUAGUAUGUGAGUGUGUUUCUACGAAACCCUGGUAAACAAUGUAACAAGUUCACUUAAGAUAUACAUUGAUAUAUAAAAUUUGUCCGCUUUGGAUGCUGUUACGGAUGCAGUUUACAGAACUGUGAUAUGUUUUUGGUGCAGAGCUUCAAAUUUGUAGACUUCGUGCUUCUAUUUUUUUUUUUUUUCGAACUUACUAAUUGGCUCAAAAUCAAGAUUCUGCUUCCAACAGUCACUAGAAUUUAACUUUCUUUCACAAAUGCAACAAAUUUCAUUAAAAUUGGUCUAGUGCCUAGCACACCAGUUUUCCUUAUGUAAAAAAAAAAAAAAAAAUGGUCUAAGGCGAUCGAGCCUCUUUUUGUAACACUGAUAUCAGGUUCAACAUUUUAAGAUACGAUACAUUCUCCUCUAAUGCAAAAUAAACUCUAAUAUAAAGUCAGAAGUGCUCCAAGCCACACUGUAUCAGUUCCACCCCUGGAUAUUUAUUUUUAAAAUUCUGGGAUUUUACAUGCCUAAACCAGUCUGAUCAUGAGGCAUGCCUUAUUAGUGAACUCUUUAAUUUUUAACACCUGGGGUUCCUUAAUGUGAACCCAACCCCUAUCGAAUGCGGUGCCCGCAGCCGGGAUUGAAUCUGGGGCCUUGUGCUCAGCAGCGCAGUCUUGGAUAUUUUGGAACACUAUAAGUACGCCUGCUAUCUACAACAGUAACACUGAAACUAGGAGGGUAUCAGCCCAUCGCCUUGCCAGGUGUGUGACAAAAUAAUAGCUCUGGACCAUGAAGUAAAACUGCACUAGCCACCCAAACGACAGUCUAAAAUAUGCACCUGAAGUUAAAAAAAA
rnacentral:lncRNA from 1 species